rnacentral:rRNA from 1 species
UACGUAGGGGGCAAGCGUUAUCCGGAAUUAUUGGGCGUAAAGAGUGCGUAGGUGGUUACCUAAGCGCAAGGUUUAAUCUUGAGGCUCAACCUCAUUCUGCCUUGCGAACUGGGCUACUUGAGUGCAGGAGGGGAAAGCGGAAUUCCUAGUGUAGCGGUGAAAUGCGUAGAUAUUAGGAAGAACACCGGUGGCGAAGGCGGCUUUCUGGACUGUAACUGACACUGAGGCACGAAAGCGUGGGGAGCAAACAGGAUUAGAUACCCUGGUAGUCCCU